rnacentral:lncRNA from 1 species
CUUGCUGUAGAUCUCUGUGCGUUGCUCAUUAACCCAAAUCUCCUUUCUUGUGAGGAGACCAAAGGCUUGUUGCGCCUCUUCAAGCUACCUGGGUUCCCCUUGUUUUGCCGAGCGUAGAGUCCUGUUGCUGUCGAUCUACGUGCGUUGCUCACUUUCCCUAAAUCUCCCUUGUUGGGUCGAGAGCAGAGGGUUGUUGCUGCCAAUCUCCAUGCGUUGCUCAGUUUCUCAAAAUCUUUGUACUUUGCAUCCACCUCUUGUGCUGAGAGCUGAGCCUAUUUGCUGCUAAUCUUGGACCGGAUCUUUGGUGAGUUCUUGCUGCACUUUUUCUGGGAUUUUUUGUAGCACUUGAAACUUGGUAAAUGCAAUGGCUUGAGUGCUUAAGGCUGGUUCUGGAAUUUUUGAUUUGUACUGUUUUGGAAAAUUUUUACACUGCAACAUGUUUUCCAACGUAUGAUUCACACUUGGUUAACUAUUGUUUCUUAUGAUUUUUUUCCUCAAUUAACACCUCAUAAAUCUUUUUUUCUUUCAAUUAAGUACCUUAUGAAUAACUUUUACUUUCAAAAGAAUUAAACUGUUAAUUUCACUAGCAUUAUCGAAAUAGCCUCAAUUCAUAGGAACCUAAAAAAGCAUGUGUAGGUUACUUUAUGCAAGCCUUAUCGAAACAUCUGAUUUUGUACCAGACUUACCUGCACUAUACUACCAACUGGAUAGUUUUUGUAUACUUUUAACAUGAAAUAAAUUUUGGCUUUGCUUUUUAAAUAAAAUUAAAACAUCAAUUCAAAAUUAAUUUAGAUGUUUAUAUAUAAAGUUAUUUUUUUGUUAUUUUAUUAAAUAAAUUAAACAACUUAUCCCUUUAUUGAAACUUAGAUAAUCAAUUUUUUCAUUGGAGAAUUCAAGUUGCAAGAUGCUGACAGGAACCAAUGCUAGAACAUGUCUCUGAUGAACUCGAUCAAAACAGUGAUUGGCAUUUGUCUUGCAUGCUUCAAGCAUGAGUUAACACAUUCCGCAAUGUUGGAUGUCAUUGUUGGCUCUAUUAGUUUUUGAUGAUAAUAAAACAUUUUCAUUUAUGUGUGUCUAAUACCUUUACUUGAGUGUGCAGGAAAGUAAUUUGUGAAAUUAAUUUAUCGACUCUUCAAAGAGUAUUUUGGAAAAAAAAAAGGGAUAAAAUCAACAAGAUGUAACUAAAUAAUAAAGAGGAAGCUUAUUGGUGAAACAACGAAGAACAUUGGUUGACUAAAUUUUAAAUUGGAGAAAUGACGAGCUCAAGAGUUAGAGAAACAGAAUCAAUUUAGUUAACCAAGUUAGUCGACUAAGUGCUCUCUAUCAGAAUCUGCAAACCAGAAACAGAAUCAACUUAGUCAACCAAGUUAGUCGACUAAGAGCUAUCUGUUUGCCAUUUGAAUCAGAGCACUACAAGACAAAUUAACGGUUAGAACUCAUCCUCAACUGUUUCCAACAUAUAUAAACUGUCAAACUGCCAUCAGAGUUGCAUCUCCAAGUAUAAAAGGGUCUUCCAACAAUAAGAAAGAAGUUUUUUGAAGCCUUGAAUGAGUUUUGAGCUAUAAAAAGAAGAAAAAUCAGAAAAGCUUCACUGCACUUGUCUGCACUUAAACGCUUACUCUUUGCAUUUGUAUUUAGCACUCAAUCUUGUACCAAUCUAAUCAAGAAGUGAUCAUAGAUACUUUCUUUUACUACUUCUCUUGUAUUCUUAGAGUGAAGGAGUUAUUCUAAGGGGUUGUUCAAGCUUGGGAUAGCUUGAUUGUUAAAGGUUGUGGUUGAGUUUUGGAAAAUCACAUUGGGUUUUAGUUGAGCUCAUGAAAAACUACUAUAAAAGGUUUUUGGCUGAGCCUGGUAAAAGUCAUUAUAAAGCUUGGUGAAAGCUUGUGAAUUUCACCGGUCCAUAAUGGAUUUAUGGGAAAAUCCUUAGUUGGAUAAUCAAGGUAGUGGAUGUAGGUCUUGGAUCGAACCAUUAUAAAUUGUUGUGCAUUGUAUACUUUGUUUUUAUUUUCUUAUUUUGGAAAUUUGUUUCCAAUCUUGUCAAGAGCCGAUUUGUGCUAUUCACCCCCCCUUUGGCACAUAUUAUAGAGACCAACAAUUGGUAUCAAAGUUAGUUCCUUGUUUUUAAGGCUUAACAACCUUUGGGAGGAUCCAAAUGGCUCAACAAAAAAUCAUAGUUGUUGAGGGACAAUCAACAAACAGACCACCUUUGUUUGAUGGCUCUAAUUACCUCUAUUGGAGCACUAGAAUGUCAAUUUAUAUUAGGGCUAUAAAUUAUGAAAUGUGGGAUGUCAUAACUGAUGGACCCUUUAUGCCCUCAACCGUGAAUGUAGUUAUAAAUGAGUUGAUGCCCAAGCUAAGGUUUGAAUGGACUGAGGCUGAAACUAAGAAAGUUCAAAUAAAUUUUAAGGCCAUCAACACAUUACAUUGUGCCUUAACCCCCACUGAAUUUAACAAAGUUUCAAGUUGUACAAUAGCUAAACAAGUGUGGGAGAAACUUAGGAUAAUCCAUGAAGGGACUUCCCAAGUCAAAGAGUCCCAAAUUGCUUUCUUAACACAUAGUUAUGAAAUGUUCAAAAUGAAGCAUGGUGAAGACAUCACCAGCAUGUUUUUCUUACUCAUGAGCUGGAGCUUAAGGAAGAAGAAAAAGAAGACUGAAUGGAAGCAAAGGAAAAGAAAAAGAGUAUUGCAUUUAAAGCCAGCAUUCUUGAAGAAGAGCUAGAAGAGCUUUCCUAUGAUGAUGAUGAAGAAUUAGCUCUAGUUGCAAGGAAAUUCAGAAAGCUAAUGAGCAGAAGAAAUCAAAGGGUAACUAGAAGAGGUUUCAAGAAAGACCAAGAUGCUUCAUGGAAAAUAAGGAACAAAAAUGACUCUAACAAAAAGGAAGAGAUGAUCUACUACGAAUGCAAGAAACCUGGUCACUUCAAGUCCGAGUGUCCAUUGUUAAAAGAUGAAACCCCUUAGAAAAAUAAGAAAUCCAAGAAAGCAAUGGUGGUUGCUGCAUGGUCGGACAAUGACACAUCAAGCUCUGAAACUGAUGAUGAAAAAUCUGAGGAAAGAGCAAACAUCUGUUUAAUGGCACAAGAGGAUGAAACAGAGGUACCCUCAUCCCCCUACAUUAAUUCUUAUGAUGAUUUACAAGAUGAGUAUGAGUGUUUUUAUGAUGAAUUUGAAAAGCUUUUUUCAAAAUAUAAAUCAUUAAAGAAAAAGGCUACAUUUUUUGAAAAUGAUUUGGAGCAAAUCAAACAAGAGUUUACUUCUGUUCUUGAGCAAAGAAAUAUUUUACAAAUUGAGUUAGAACACUCAAAAACAGACUUUGAGGUUUUAAAACUAGAGCUGGAAAACAAGUCUAAAGCUUUGCAAAUAACUCUUGAUGAAAAUACAGCUUUUAAAUAUUUAAAAAAUGAAUCCUCAAAAAGAGAUGUAUAUCGGGAUAAAAAUUUAGCUAAAGCAUUACCUAGAUGUUAUAUGUAAAACCCGACUCUAUAAACACAUGUCAUGACAUACAUGCACUGAGUAGCAUGUUAUUACGCUAGGAAAGUUCCUAAGAAUAAAUGAAAUUCGGUAUUGUACCUAACGAUACACUUGAGUUGAUUUAACCUCGAACUAGUUCAAAUAGGAAUCGUAGGAUGAAAUUUAAUAUUUUAUAGUCAAGGAAUGACUAAAAAUGAUUGUUCGGAGUUCGAGGGUUCAUUAGGGGUAAAAUUGAAAAUUUUGAUGUUUAGGGGUAAAAUCAUUUUGCCACUUAAGAUAAUAAUUUGAUAAUGGAGUGAAAUUUUUGACCAAGAUUAACUAUUUGGAGUAUAAUUUAAUGAUAGGAAGUAAAAAAGUUUAAUUCUGGUGAUUUUUGGAGUGUAGGGGUAAAAUUGUAAUUUUACCACUUGCGGACAAAAUUUGAGAUUUUGAGAGAAUUUAGAUCAAAUUUGACAAUUGGAGAAUGGUAUGAGUAUAAAAGAUGAAAAAUAUGUCUGGGUAAUUUUUCAGUUUUUUGAGUAAAAAUAUAAUUUUUCACUUUUACGAGGGCAAAAGUGUAAAUUUCAAAAAUUACUCCACCGAGACUUUGGAUAAGUCUGAGAAUUUUAUCUAAGCUAUGGAUAUAUGAGACAAGUGUAUGGUGAAAAUUUGAAAACAAAUGGAUGAAAUUUUAAAAAUGGGCCAAUGAGAAAGUGACACGUGGUAUUUUUUUAAUAAUAUAAUAUUAUUUUAAUGAAAAAUUAGCCCAUUUAAACCCCAUUUUAAGUGUUGGCUGGCCAUAAGGGAGAACAAGAGAGAAAAUAGAGGAAAGGAAGAAAAAAAGAAAAACCAAAGAGAAACAAGAAAAUUCAAAGGGAAAUUCGUAUUUUUUGCCAGUUUACGCGUUUAACGGUAAGAUUUGUCGACUUUAGCUUGAUUCCUACCUUUUUUAUGCUUUUGUUUCCAUUUAGCAUGCUUGAGGAGAGAGAUCUAAAGGUGACAUCAAGGGCUGUACGAAAUUCUAAGGAUGAGAUUUUGAAAUUUUUAAGUUUUGAUUUUUAGUUAAAUUGGUAGUUUCAGUUAGUUAAAUGUGUUUAAAAAUUAAAUUGGGCAAGAAAGCAUUAAAUUUUCACAAUACCCACCCUUGGCCGAAUCUGCAAUGAGGUACAAUAAUGAUGAUCUGAUUUUUAUUCUAAGAAAAAUGAAGAGAAAAUGAUGAAAAAUGGUUAAAUGUGAUAGAAAAAUAAAGUAAAAAAUUUAUCGAGUUAAUGUCCCAUUUUUGGCUGAAUUUUUCAAGGAGGACAGUGAACUGAUUUUGGUGAUUUUAGAAGGUUAUUGGCUGAUAUUUAAUGGUUAGAAAUGUUGGAGAGAGAAUGGAAUGAUUUAGAGGUAAAAUGUAACGCGUUAGCAAUUUAUUGGGUAAAGUGCCAAAAAUAGGUUAAUAUCACGUUUAAGCAAUUUUUGGCUAUUGCAUUUCAUACCAUGCAUUAGUAUAGGAUUUAAGUCAAAUAUAUAGUGUUUUAGCAUUAAUGUGAUGAAUUGAGUAAAUUUUUGCAAUGUGUCUAGGAGGAGAGCCUUCCGGUAAAGGCAAGAAAAUCAUACCCGAAUAGUUAUCGGGCACCUAAAAAGUAAUUAGUUUGUACAAACGGUGAGUAAAUCUAUUAUUAUUGUGAAUUAUCUAGAGUUAUUUUAAAAAUGCUCUUUAUGUAUUUUAUGAAACGAAAAUGAGAUUAAAACAAGAUUUUUGAUAUUUUAGAAAUAAAUGUGACAAAAAAAAAAUAUUGUGUUGAUUAUGAAAUUAAGUAAUUGGAGGUUGUUAACUGUCUUGAAAAUUAUAUAUUUUUCUAUGAAUGGCUUAUGAGAUAUAAAUAUAUGUGGCUAUAUUUUGUAAGUGCAUUGAAAAAUUUAUGUAAGCUAUUUUUACUAUGCAGGCUGGAUAAAUAAAUAAAAGUCACGUUAUAUUGUCAAAAUUUUAUUAAAAUUGGUGGGUUAGACACUGCAGUGACGGGUUUUCAUGGAUUGUCUAUUAGAGGGGUACGGUAAACUCUGUUAUAUAGUUACUCCAGUUGUAGAGGCAAGGAGGGUAACUCCCGAGGUAGUAUUAGAGCUCACUUCACGUCGAAUCCCCACGUGAAUGUGUAACUCGGCCAACGUCAGGGAAUGACUUGUUUUAAAAAUAAAAAUGUGUUUAACAUGUAAAUGUUAUAACAACCUUGGCUGAUUCAGUUAGAUGCCUCGGUCAAGGUAUUUCCGAAGAUUAGUUUUGGCUUGAGCCUUGUUUUCUUUUAUAAAAGACAUAAGCCUUAAUAACUGUUUUUGUAAAUUACAAAUAUUUUAUGAUUUAAGAAAUAAAUUGAAAACAUUAUGAAAUGGUUUGUGAUUUGUUGUUUAAACUUGCUUCCCUGUUACUCGCCUUUAAAUAUUUAUGAUAAUGUCUGUUUACUCAUUGGGAUUGCAAAAUCUCACCCACCUCCUUUCCAAAUAUUUCAGGCCUGUGGUAGCUUGUAGAUACCCGAUUUUGUCGAGGAUUUCAGUUGAUCCCUCUAUCACACAGACAGUAGGUUACUAUCGCCAACACUUACUGUAUUUAUGGGUCACUUGUCAUUGUAAUUAUUAUUGUACAUUAUAACUUUGUAAAUUAUUGUAUGUAUGAAUUUAUUUUACUUCUAAGUUACAAAAGAUUACUUACACGUGUUUCUAUAAAUAUUGUUUUAUAUAAAAAUGCUAUAUUUUUUUCUUUGAUUUACUUGAGUCGGAAACGAUUGAAAAUUGUUUAAAACUGAUAUGUAAGCCUUGCGGGGUUCCGAUUGGUAUUUCGAGUAUUGAGUAUCAAUCAGGACGUCGUGGCGGUUGUCAUGGGCCCGAGGGAGGUUUCGGGUCAUGACAUUAUAAUUAUGGUAAACAUGGUCAUUUAUCAUAUGAGUAUUUUAAGAAAAGAACAGAGCAGAAAGUUAAGAAAUGUGGGUUGCUAAGGGAUCCUUUAUUGCUACUAACACUCAAGGACCCAUCAAAGUAUGAGUACCUACAAAGAAAAAUUGAAAUUCUGUUUUGUAGGUUGAGUUGAACUUAAAAGAGACAUGUUCAAAAGCUCAACUAAAAAAAAAACAGUCUUGGUACUUGGAGAGUGGCUGUUCACGGCACAUGACAGGACAUAAAAUGCUGUUUGCUCAACUAGAUAAGAGAAAGGGAGGAACCGUAUCCUUUAGAGAUGAUUCAAAAGGAAGAAUUCAUGGUAUAGGUACGAUUGGUAAGAAUUUCCAAACUCAAAUUAGUCAUGUGUUGCUGGUUAAAGGCUUAAAGCAUAAUUUACUAAGUAUUAGUCAAUUAUGUGAUAAAGGAUUUAGAGUGUGCUUUAAUUCAACUAAGUGUGAAGUGAUAGACAUGGGUACAAAUAAAAUCUCAUUUAUAGGAAAUAGAUUGAAGAAUAUGAAUGUAAUUUUUCUUGAAGAUCUUGAAGUAAAUAGUGAAGUAUGUCUUAUUGCAAAUGUUGAAAAUGAUAGUUGGCUAUGGCAUAACAGAUUACAUGUGAGCAUGAAUACUAUGUCAAAAUUAAUUAAGAAAAAUCUUGUUAUUGGACUGCCUGAGUUAAAAUUUGAAAAUGAUAAGAUAUGUGAUGCUUGCCAACUAGGAAAACAAGUUAGGACAUCCUUCAAGUCUAAGAAAAUUGUGUCAACAUCUAGACUUCUUGAAUUGCUUCAUAUUGAUCUAUUUGGUCCAAUAAGCACAACUAGCUUAGGAGAAAAAUCUUAUAGCUUUGUUAUAAUUGAUGACUAUUCUAAAUAUGCUUGGGUGUAUUUUCUUGCUUAUAAGAAUGAUGCUCUACAAGCAUUCUUAAGUCAUUGUAAGAAAGUAGAAAAUGAAAAAAGACUUGCCAUAGUUAGCAUAAGAAGUGAUCAUGGAGGAGAAUUUGAAAAUGAUGAGUUUGAAAAGUUUUGCAAUGAAAAGGGGUUGGAUCACAAUUUUUUUGCACCUAGAAUACCCCAGCAAAAUGGAGUUGUAGAGAGGAAAAAUCGAACCUUGAAAGAAAUGGCUAGGAUCAUGCUAUGUGAAAACAACCUACCUAAAUAUCUUUGGGUUGAGGCAGUAAAUACAACAGCUUAUAUAUCAAGCCCAACUUUAUAAUAUAUUUUCCAUAUUGUAUAGGUACUUGAUAAAAUGUCUGCAUACUUGAAUGCCUCAAAAAUCGUUAAAAGACGAUAUUGUACCUAAUGGUACAAUUAAGCUGAAUUAAGCCUCAAACUAGUCCAAAUAGAGAUUUUAAGAUGAAAUUGAGAAUUUUAAAACCCCAAAAUGACUUAAUAUGGUGAUUCGGAGUUCGAGGAUUAAUUUGGAGUCAAAUUGGAAUUUUCAUGACGUAGGGGUAAAAUGAUCAUUUUACCACCCAAAGGUAAAAUUGGAAUUUUGCACCACCCAACACUUGUCUUGCCUAAGGAUUUCAUCCAUUAACAUUUUAUAUUAUGGAUAAUUGAGAUAUUUGAUGUGGUAGAGAAAGAAAGCUUAGUUGUUAAGUAUUAAUUAUGGACCGAUGGAAUGGUGACAAGUGGCAAACUUUCAUUUCUUUAUAAUUUACAUUAAAAAUCAGCACAUGAUUUACCCAUUUCACUCCCAUAUGUUUGGCCUCACCAAGGAAAAGAGGAAAGAAAGAAAGAACAAACCCUAGUGAGUAAAAAUUUAAGGAAAAUUAGUGGAUUUCAAAGAAUUAAGCAAGUAAAGGUAAAAUUUAUUGAUUUUAGCUUGUGAUCUACCUUUCCUAUGCAUUCUUUUUCAUUUUCCAUGAUUGAGAAACAAGUUUGCAUGAAGAUACCUUUGCUGGCCGGACAUGGGGGGAGGGGUUUUGAUCUUGGAUUUAGCUAGAUUUCAUGUUAUUCUAGUGUUUUUAGUUGGUAGGUGAUGUGUAGCAUAAAAAGCAAACAAGAAAAUUCAUGUUCUUCCAUCACCCUCAUUGGCUGAAUCUUCCUCAUGGUAUGUUGAUGGUGGAUUUGAUUUUAUUUUAAGUGAUUUGGUUAGGAAUUAAUGAUUUAUAGUGUAAAAAUCAAGCAUGAAAAAUCAUAGUGUUUAUGCACCCACCAUGGCCGAAUUUUCCAAGAGAAAAUGUUGAGGAUGAUUUUGCGAUAAUUUGUUAUCUAGCUUAUAUUUGAUGAUUUGGAGUAUUGGAAGUGAAAUGAAUUUAUUUGGAGUUGAAUUGGAUAUUUUGGCCAAUUAACUUGUGUAUAGUGUGAAUUAGGUUAAUACCAUUUCAGCCCCACACACAAUUGAACCUACGUAGAACACCGUAUUUAGAUAAUAAUCCAAGCAUUUCACAUCCCAUUUCAUGCAUGCAUAUAGAGCCUGAAAUAGAUUUAUAAUGACAUGACACAAUAUAUUGAAUUAUUUGUCAUGUAUUGUGUAUAGGUGGUGAGUCUUCUAACAAGGAUAAAGACAUUGUGCCAGAGGACCAAGAAUAGGAGUAUUUCGAACUCCCGAUAUUGUGAGCAAUCUUAUUAUCGUCUUAAUUAUCUAAAGUAGUUUUUAUUUGUUUUUGUGAUUUUAUAGAAAAAUGAGUUUAAAUGAUUAAAUGAAAUGAGUUUUAUAAAUCAUUUUGAAAUUGAAUGAUGAUUUUAGAAAUUGAGUAAUUGGAGACUGUUUGAUUGUGUUGUAAAUUUAUUGUUUGAAUUGAAUGGCUUAUGGUGAUAUUGGCAUGAAUGGCUGAAUUGAAAAUUGUAUUAAAAUUGUAUGAACUGUUUGUUUUGCCUUAACAGGCUGGGUAGUAAUAUAAUUGCCAUGUUAUGUUGUCGAACUUUUAUUGAUUUGGUGGGAUAUUGAUUAGUCAUUGCAGUGGUGGGUUUUCGUGGACUAGCCUAUUAGAGAGGGGCACGGUAAACUCGAUUAUAUUUGACCUUGGUACGAGAGGCGCGGAGGGUAUCUCCUGAGGUAAAACUUUAGAGUUCACUACACGCUAAACCACCACGUAAGGGUGAACUCAGCCAACGCCAAGGAACGAUUGUGCUUUUAAACGUAAAAAUGUGUUUUAUGCGUAUAUGAACUUUUCUUUAACAGCCUUAGCAUACUCGGUUGGAUGCCCCUGCGCAAGGUGUCAUCGAGCACAAGUUUUGGCACGAGUCAAAGUUUUAAGAGAGUCAUAAGCCAUGUUGAUUAUUUGAGUGAAAUGAAUUUAUUUUGUUUAGUUGAAAUGAGUUUGAAACGUUAUGAAUCAUAGUACGGUGAACUAUUUUAUGUUGUCUCAAUUUACUCGACUUUGGAUAUUUUAGAUGAUAUUUGUUUAUUCACUGAGUUUAUAUAAACUCACCACCCUCUUUUUCACCCAUUUCAAGCUCAGGAUAGUCUGUAGAUAGCUGAUUUCGUUGAGGGCUACAGUUGGAUUUGCAUCCUUAAAAAUCAUAAGUUCGCAACCUUCGUUACUUUUGAUCAUUUGGGAGCCCACAUGUCAUUAUAAAUUAAAUUAUACACUCUAACUCACUGUGUUACUGUAUGUAUGAAUUUAUUUUAUUUUUACGCUAUAAAAAUUAUUUGCGGAUACCUGUAUAAAUAUUGUUUUAUAAGAAAAUGAAAUAUUUUAUUUAAUAUUUUUAUUUUAUUCUAAUAGCUAUCAUUUCACUUUAAAUAAAUGUUUUAGACAUCUAAACUUAUUUUUGGCUAUUAAAUAUGUAUCUUUCACUCAUAUACUACAUUUUUAGAUGGUUUUGAAAUUUUUGGAGUAAAAUGACCAAAAUACCCUUGUGAGACGAAAAUUAUUUUUUUAUUGUUUUAGUUUGGAAAUAGCUUAUAAUCUUUUAAAAUAUGAUAUUAGCAACUGUUGCUCGCAGGGGAGGUGAGAAAACUGAUAUUAAACCUUGUGGGGUUUCGGUGGGUAUUCGGGUAAUGAAUGUCUAUCAGGACAUCGCGGUGGUUGUCACGGGCUCGAGGAGAGUACUGGGUCAUGACAUUAUAUUCUUAAUAGAGUCUCAAUAAGACCCUUGAUUUCGAAGACUCCAUAUGAACUUUAUAAAGGUAGGAAACCAAAUAUUUCUCACUUUAGGAGCUUUGGUUGUAAAAGCUUUGUAUUGAACAAUGGAAAACAGCCCCUAGGGAGUUUGAUGCAAAGAGUGAUGAAGCAAUAUUUUUAGGAUAUGCUUUAAACUCAAAGGCCUAUAGAGUUUUUAACAAAAAGACCUUGACUGUUGAAGAAUCAAUUCAUGUAGUUUUUGAUGAGUCAAAUGCAUUGCAAAAAGAAGUUCAUGAUGAUGAUGAUGAUGUAGAAGUCCUAGAAAAACAAAUGGAGGAAAUGAGCUUAGAAAACAACAAAAAUAAUGAAGAAAGCUCACCUAGAAGAGAAGAUGAAACUCCACUUUUGAAAAAUCUGUAAAGAGCAGAAAAUCAGCAUGAUGAUCUACCAAGGAGUUGGAGAUUUGUGAGAGAUCACCCACAAGACCAAAUAAUUGGUGAGAUUUCUCAAGGAGUUAAAAUUAGGAAAUCAACUAGAUAAACUUGUGAGUUUUCAGCUUUUAUAUCUUAAAUUGAACCUAAAAACUUUGAAGAAGCUAAAAAAGAGGAAAGUUGGAUAAUGGCCAUGUAAGAAGAAUUUGAUCAAUUCACAAGGAGUCAUGUAUGGUCAUUGGUACCUAGACCUUCAAAUCACCCUAUUGUUGGUACAAAAUGGGUGUUUAGAAAUAAGGUAGAUGAGCAAGAAAAUGUAGUUAGAAAUAAAGCUAGGUUGGUAACAAAUGGAUGCAACCAAGAAGAAGGAAUAGAUUAUGAUGAAACUUUUGCUCCGGUUGCUAGGAUUGAAGCUAUAAGGUUGUUGCUAGCUUUUACAUGUUUCAUGAAUUUUAAAUUGUUCCAAAUGGAUGUAAAAAGUGCAUUCUUAAAUGGAUUAAUUCAAGAGGAAGUAUAUGUAGAACAACCACCUGGUUUUGAAAACUUUGAAAAAUCUAAUCAUAUUUUCAAACUUCAUAAAGCCUUGUAUGAAUUGAAACAAGCUCCUAGAGCUUGGUAUGAAAGGCUUUCAAAAUUUCUAGUUGAGAAAGGGUAUGAUAGAGGCAGCAUCGAUACUACAUUGUUCAUUAAGAGAUAUCUAAAUAAUUUAAUUGUUGUGCAAAUAUAUGUGGAUGAUAUUGUAUUUGGUGCAACUAAUGAAGCUUUAUGGAAGAAGUUUGCAAAGGAAAUGCAGGGUGAAUUUGAAAUGAGCAUGAUAGGAGAGUUGAAGUACUUCCUUGGUCUUCAAAUCAAACAAAGUGAGGAAGAAAUCUUCAUCAACCAAGAAAGAUACACUCAUGAUAUGCUUAAGAAAUUUGAUAUGCUGAAGCUGAAAUCAAUUUCUACACCAAUGAGUCCAUCCACCAAACUCGACUUAGAUGAAAAAGGUAAGGAUGUAGAUCAAAGCUCUAUAAAAGGUAUGAUCGACUCUCUUCUCUACUUAACAACAAGUAGACCAGAUAUUCAGUUUAGUGUGUGCUUGUGUGCUAGAUUUCAGUCACAACCUAAAGAAUCACACCUAACUGCCAUUAAGAGAAUUUUUAGAUACCUCAUAGACACUCAAGAACUAGAAAUAUGGUACUCUAGAGACUCAACUCUUAACUUAGUUGGAUAUUCAGAUGCUGACUUUGCUGGUAGUAGAACUGAUAGGAAGAGCACUAGUGGAACAUGCCAAUUUUUAAGAAGGAUGCUUGUGUCUUGGUCCAGCAAAAAGCAAAACUUAGUGGCACUGUCUACAGCAGAGGCUGAAUAUGUAUCAUUAGGAAGCUGCUGUGCACAAAUCCUUUGGAUCAAGCAACAAUUAAAAUACUAUGGAAUAACAAUGCAUAAUGUACCAAUUUACUGUGAUAACACAAGUGCAAUCAAUAUAUCAAAAAAUCCUAUGCAGCACUCUAGGACAAAACACAUUGAGAUUAGACACCAUUUUAUUAGAGACCAUGUGAUGAAAAAUGAUAUUAAGAUAGAAUUUGUGAAUACUUUACAUCAAUUAGCAGACAUUUUUACCAAACCUUUGAGUGAAGAUAAAUUUUGUGAGAUUAGAAGAAAUUUAGGGAUGAUUAGUGUGAAGGAAUUAUAAGAAAACCUUAAGCUCUCACAUAGAAAACAAACUGUUUUCAAUCAACUAAGGAUUUCUCAAUCAACUAAGAGUAGUCUAACAGCCUUAAAUAAUAAGACUUAGUGAGUUUUAGAGAAAGAAGAGUAAAAUAUGGGUUGACCGGGUCCAAAAGGAAUAAAGGAAAAACUGUCAAAGGUAAAUAACCAAAUUUUUAGAGGGAAGUUUGAAAUUAUAAAGAAAUGAAAUAGGGCAGCACUUAAAAGGAAGGUGAAGAGUUUUUUUUAUAAUAACUGUUGACUGCCUCUCUUUCUCUCUCCCUUGAAACCCGUUGCUCUAAAAACAAAAACUAAAUCUCCCUGUUUGCCUCUGAAACUGACUCAAACCCUCAGAAAUUUUUGCAACUAACAUGGUUAGAACAUCUCAGAGCAAAGAGAUAUCAGAAAAGAAGAAAGGGAAAAGGCUAAUGGAGGAAGAAUCAGAAACUAAAAAUGUGAAAAAGAAACUGAAAAUCAUGGCUAGUUCAAUAAAAGAUAUAUCCGAGAAACUUAGAGAAAAGAAGAAAAAACUGGCAAGAAAAAGGAAAUAAAGCCCUCACUCCACAAAGGUACCAGAUAUUCCUCUUCAAAAUUUAGGAAUAAGUUGCAUGAGUAUAGAUUCAAGAAUAUCAAGAAUGCACCAAUCUCUUGUGAAAAAUUCAUUGACUGGAAUAGUUUUAACAAAAAUGUAGAAAUCCAAACUAAUCUAUUUGAGUACUUUGAUGAACUAAAACUAAAAGGCUACAGCAUAUUUAAGAAUAGGUUUUCAGUCCAGGUUUGGUCAAAGAGUUUUAUUUUGGAAUUGCUUUGAAAGGAAAGGAAUUAAUAGAUUCUGAUGAUUAUGUAGAAGAUGGUUUGAAUGUUUAUCUAAAUGGAAAAGAGUUUGUUAUGAUUACUGAGGAUUUAAGGAACCUGUUGAAAAUGGAAGAUAAAAUCACUGAGUUGGAAAACAAGUUGAAGGAGAAGGAAAACAUGCCAUCUGAACCUGUGGCUGCAGAUAGCUCUGCCACAUUCAGCACUGCACCUACAUAAUAAGGUGCUGAAAAUUCAACUAAGUCAGUAGAAAAAUCUGCUCCUCAUGUUGGAAGUUCUAGCAUUUAGGCUGAAAGUUCCAUUUAUAAAUCUGUCUGUCCUACUCUACAAACUAAAGACUCUCCCAAAGGGGUUGAUCAACCAGCCAAGACAACUUCCCCUGAACCUCAAAGCAAAAAUGAUACAGAGACAAAGAAACACCAGGCCUCUCCUCCAAACUCAAAGGAAGUUUCCAUCAUGGAUAUCUUCCACCAAAUGGUUAAAGAGGGAGAAGCUGAGAAGGACACUGCUAGGACAAAAACUCAAAAAGAUGGUGAAGGUGUAGGAAAAGGAAAGAAAUCUGCAUCAGUUGCCAGAGUAAAGACAAAAGUAGGGAAAGCCAAAGCCACUGCAGCACCACCAACUAAGGCAAAACGACCAACCAAAGGCAAGAAGACUAUGGCAACCAAGACAGUUUUUCUCAAAAGAAGAAAGUCUUCUAAGUUGGCAGAGAAAUCCAGACCAAUUUCAGCCUCCUCUCCAAUCCCUGUCUCAGAUAAGUCCUUACUAGAACCUUCUCCAAAACAUUCAUUACCUCUCCGAGAGCUCUCUCAUUUUCCUAUUAACCCUUUCUACAACACUAAGUCCUCACCCUCUAACUCAUCAGAUGAAUAAAAGCCCAUCCCUUUUAUGCUGACAAAAAGGGGAGUAGAAUAGAAUGGGUACAGCAACUAGGAACCAAAGAAUAAAAAAAAAAUGUUAGGGUAGAGGAACCAGGAAGGAACCUAGGAAAGAAAAAAAAAAAAGACAGAAUCAAAGAUGUAUGAACUUAGAAAAAUAGGAGAUAUGAAGCAAAAAUAGUCCAAGGGCAGUUUCGAAACACUUGUUGGUUAACUAUUAUUUGUGCCAUGGUGGCACUUAAACACUCAGUUUUAAUUCUAUUAUUUAUAUGGUUGUAUGUGAAAAAUGAAUGCUGAUAUAACUAUGUUGCUUAAUUGCUAAAAAUUGAAGUCUGCUGAUAUUUUGGUAUUUUGAUUGUCAUGAACAAAAUUUGCUAGUGCCAUGUUGAUAUUGAUGCACAUGUUGAUAAAUGAUUUUUGUUAUGGCAUUGUGGAUAAUUUCUGUUUGAAAAUAGAUAUAAAUGGUAUGGAUAAUAUAUCAAUUGAGACAUGAAUGAUGUGAACAAAAUCUGAAAUCAAUAAAAUGUUGACAGCUGUUGGAACAUUGAUGAAAAUCUGUCAACACUUAAAGCUGAAAGUUUAAUGAUAAUAUGCCAAUACUUACUUGCUACAAAUCACUCUAUGUUGUUGAACAUAUGUAUACUCUAAAUAUACAAUAUCAUUUUCUAUAUGAUGAGAAUAAAAUUGGCUAAAAUAAAAUAAGCAAAAUAUGCACAUUAAGGGGGAGCUUAUACUUAGGGGGAGCAAUCCUCAGUUUUGCAAAAAACUAAAUUAAAAUGACACUAUGCUAUUAAUCAAGGAGUGUUUUGUCAUCAUCAAAAAAGGGGAGAUUGUUGGCUCCAUUAGUUUUUGAUGAUAAUAAAACAUUCCCAUUUUUGUGUGUCUAAUACCUUUACUUGAGUGUGCAGGAAAGUAAUUUGUGAAAUUAAUUUAUUGACUCUUCAAAGAGUAUUUUUGAAAGAAAAAGAGGGAUAAAAUAAACAAGAUGUAACUAAAUAACAAGGAGGAAGCUUAUUGGUGAAACAAGGAAGAACAUUGGUUGACCAAAUUUCAAAUUGGAGAAAUGGUGAGCUAAAGAGUUUGAGAAACAAAAUCAAUUUAGUCAACCAAGUCAGUCGACUAAGUGCUCUCUGCCAAAAUCUACAAACCAGAAACAGAACCAACUUAGUUAACCAAGUUAUUUGACUAAGAGCUCUCUGUCUGCAAGUUGAACCAGAGCACUAUAAGAGAGAUUAAUGGCUAAAACUCAUCCUCAAUUGUUUCCAACGGAUAUAAACUGCUAAACUGCCAUCAGAGUUGCAUCUCCAAGUAUAAAAGGGUCUUCCAACAAUAAAAAAGAAGUUUUUUGAAGCCUUGAAUGAGUUUUGAGCUAUAGAAAGAAGAAAACUCAGAAAAGCUUCACUGCACUUAAACGCCUACUCUUUGCAUUUGUAUUUAGCACUUAAUCUUGUACCAAUCAGAUCAACAAGUGAACAUAGGUACUUUUUUUUACUACUUCUCUUGUAUUCUUAGAGUGAGGGAGUUAUUCUAAGGGGUUGUUCAAGCUUGGGAUAGCUUGAUUGUUAAAGGUUGUGGUUGAGCCUUGAAAAACCACAUAGGGUUUUAGUUGAGCCCGUGAAAAACUAGUGUAAAAGGUUUUUGGCUAAGCUUGGUAAAAGCCAUUGUAAAGCUUGGUGAAAGCUUGUAAAUUUCACCGGUCCAUAGUGGAUUUGUGGGAAAAUCCUUGGUUGGAUAAUCUAGGUAGUGGAUGUAGGUCUUGGACCGAACCACUAUAAAUUGUUGUGCAUUGUAUACUCUGUUUUUAUGUUCUUUGUUCUGGAAAUUUGUUUCCAAUCUUGUCAAGAGUCGAUUUGUGCUAUUCACCCCCCUCUAGCACAUAUUAUAGGGACCAACAAUCAUCAUUUGGUAUCGCAUUGCCGGUGAACAUGCACAUGCCCAUCUGUCAGGCUCUAUUCUCAUAAGGUCAGCAUGAGCUCCCGCGUGAAUCUGGUUUAGCUAGUUCAUAUGUCUGUUGAAAUCGAAAACCUUAUAGCAAUCUCGAGCAAGGGUGAAAAUCAUACAAACGUCGUUACACUUGAACUUGUUUUUUAAAUUUUUGAAGUGGUAACCGCAUAAACCUUGGUGCACUUCUGGGUAUACAUUUUGGAUUACUUUCUUAAUGCCGAGAUGCUGAUCAGAAAUGAACAUAGUGUUUUCAGGACAACCAACCGCAUCACGCAGCUUACUAAGAAACCACGUCCAUGAGUCUUCGUCCUCAACAUGGCCGACGCCAAAUGCAACUGGAUAUACGCACUCGUUCGCAUCUUUGCAUAUAGUGACAAACAAAACACUCUUGAACCUGCCUUUCAGAUGUAUCGCAUCAAUUGCAACCGUAGGACGCAUUACAUCCCUAAACCCCUAAAUACAAGCCCUAUAUGACCAGAAAUAAUAUUUGAAUCUUUUUGCCUCAUCAGUAGCCACUGCAGUCACUGUGCCAAGAUUUUCUUGUUCCAACAUAUAAAAAUACGAGGGUAGUAGUUGAAAUGACUCUUUCGGUGGGUCGAAAACAAGCCUCUUUGAAUACUCCUUCACUUGCCAAGCCUUACCAUACAAGCAUUCCAAUCCCCACUGAACCCUCAUCUCACAAAUUAUGUCCUUAGGUCUUAAUGCUGCUCCAUUAGCCCGAAGCUUCUGUGACAUAAGUUCACCAAUUAUCUUCGCACUCGUAGUACAGGUGUGUACUUUAUGGAACGUCCGAACUUAUCAAUAUUCUCCUCUGUCAGGUAACUUCGUUGCACGCACACUGAACUUGCAUGCCUUGUCCUUGCAACCAACUUCGUAACUACCUUUACAUGACCUUUUUAUUUUUAUUGCAAACUUCUCUUUUAUAACCAACAUGUUCAAAGCUCGUUUCAACUCGGCCUUCGACGAAAGCAUUUUUCCUUUGUAUAAGUGAUCAUCGACAUAUGUCGGCUCCUUAGUGGAAAUUGUUUGGAAGGAGAACCUUUCUGCACUUGAAAUUAGCCACGUACGAGAUAUCCUUGCAUUUCCCCUUUCCUGAUAACUGUCAUCGAGCAAUGUAUCAAGAGAACGAAAUCUCGUUCUCACUAGUGAUGGGGUUAUUGUAUAUGGGGUCAUCACACUGAACAUUUCCUACAUCAACACCUCCAACAGGUUCUGUUUCACCUUCAACAUGUCACAACCCAAAGUCCGGGCUAUGACCGACGUAUGGGCCUAAUGGGCAUAGCCCACUAAGCCCAAGCAAGCCUAUUUAUGCAAUCCCGAUCAUCAUUCCAAACCAUCAUUUCUCAAACCCAUAUUGUAAUUCUCAACUAAAAAUAUUUCAAUAACACUUUAUAGUAACCUAAUACUCACAAUUGUAGUAUGCUAACAUAGUAUCACUCAUUUGCCACCUUUCAGUGGCUUCAGUAAUCAAAUAUACAUAUUUGAUUUUUAACAUGAAUCUUAGUGGUCUUCAUUACUUAUACAUGUAUACAAGCAUAAAACUCUUGACCAUCAGCGGAGUGACUCUAGGUGAAGAUACAACUACUGAGAUGCUAUAGUACCUACCAAGAAGGCGAGCAUACAUGGACAACUCAAUCUAGGUCCCAACUGCCUCUAAAUCUGAAAACAUGAAGUUUAAAAACGCGAGUAUAAAACUCAAUGAGUGAACAUAAGAAGGGAACAAACAAUCGAUAGGAAGAAUUUGAAAAUCAUGAUGCACUUGUUUCAAAAACAAUGCAAUCGAUUUAAUUUUAUCACUAAAAACACCUCUUUUCAAACUUUGAUUAAUAACCUCAUAGUAUUGCAAAAACCCAUGAUCAAUCCAUGAAGUUAAAUGGGUGAAAAAUAUGUCCAAAAUCAAGCAAGGUAGCAAGCAUGGCAGCAAGUUUCUCGCUGCAACGAGAAACAAUGUCAGUUUGCAUGUGUUUCAGUUUUUCUAGAGUAUCUCCCAUUAUAGAAGUCCAAUUGACCUGAUUUUUAAACCAUUAGAAACCUAAGAUGCAGGGAUACAACUUUUAUGUUUACCACUUUUCCCAUUUCAGAUAGGAAGAUGGUCAAAAUCUUUAUCGAAGUGAAAGCAUUAUACUAGAACCUGAGAGUUUCUCGCUGCAGUAAAAAUGAAUCUCACUGCAGCGAGAAACACAACAUUUUUAUUGAAAUGAGUCUUAUUACAUCAAAAGCCAUUUUCUUGUCGACAUGAAAAGCAAUUUAGGAGCAAUUAACAAUGCCAACACAUAAGACAAUCACAAUUAUUUUCAUAAACUUUCUAUAACAUAUAUAUAUAUAUAUAUUUGCAUAUACAUACUUCAUCAUGCAUACCAUCUCGCCACACUUAGCUCAUGUGCAUCCCCCCACAUCGUGCACAUAGCUAGAGUCAUCAUGUGCAUCCCCCACAUCGUGCACAAGCAAUAUCAUCGUGUGCGUCCCCCCACAUCGGGCACAAGUAAUAUCAUCAUCCACACUCCCAUACCCCGUCAUCACUGACAUGUGCAUCCCCCCACAUCGUGCACACGCACGGUUAUAAUUAUCACACAAUAUCAACUAUCAAUGCACAACAUAUAUAUAUACCAACAUAAUGUAGUGGUACAUGAAUCCAUAACAACCACAUGUCACAACAUAGAGACAAUUUAUUAAGGGUUUGUUCCCAUGCAUAAUUUAAUGAAAAGCCAAGUAAAAUCAUUUAAAUGCUUCAUCCCAAAACAUAUGUAUUUCCCAAAAACACUUUGAUGCAAGUUCACUCAUCAAUAUUUGUUGAAUCUUUAAUUGACUCUAACUUUGAUUAUUGCUUCAAAUGGACAUGUGAGGCCUCAUUGGAACCUAUUGUCACACACAACAUCACAACCAACCCAAAUUGGCAUUAAUAUAAUUCCAAAAGCUCUUUCGUAAAUCAAGUUCCACUAGUUAUUCCUAACUAGCUUCCAAUUGCCAUUAAAUGGCUAUCUAUUCUUUCUACUCUAGUAACUCUAGAAAUAAAUAAACAAACCUCAAUAAUAAAACAACUCACAACUUCAAUUACUAGCCAUUAUCAAUAACCUAAAAUCAAUCCUCAUUUAUUACUCACCUUGGUGGAUUUGUAGUUGAAUUCCUUCUUAAGAAUACUCAAGCUAUCAUAAAGAGUCUCUCUUUUUCUCUCUCUUUAAAAUUUUUAACUAGUGAGAGAAAGUGUUGAACAAAGACUUUUUAAAGGUUUUAAGGUGAGAAAGUGAAAGAGAACAAAAGGUUCCAUGAAAAAGUGCUUAAAUGCAUGAAAAUUGAAGCUAGAGAGAGAAAGUUAUGGAAGCUUUAUGGGAGGCUCCCAUGGAGAUGAAGAAACGUGAGAUGGGAAGGAAGAAGAAAUGGCUGGAAACUACUGGAAAUUGCUGGAGCUUUAGAUAUUUAUAUCUAAAGUUUAUCCAUUUCUCACUUAAAUUACCAAAAUGCCCUUAACGUGGUGACUUUGUCUUCCUCUCAUCCUUUGUGCAACCUUUUACUCUUUUGACACUAGGGCAAGGUCCAUAAUAGUCUAUAAAUACUCGAGUUCACGAAAACAUAAAAAUUUAGACUCGAGAUGCAAAAUGACCAUUUUGCCUUUACACAAAAAUUAUCAUUAUUUUUAUCUUUUUCAUUUAUUGACCAUCAUAAACAUCAUUUAUUCAUUCCUUAGGCUUAUUUAGACCUUAAUAGCAUCAAAAAAAAAACACCUACUCGUAGGAGCUCAUCAAGAAAAAUUACAAAAUUACCCCUAGUCCGUAUUAUCGCGUCUACUUCUAGUUAUGUGUUUAUGGAGGUGAGAUUUCACAGGUUCACUUUUGAAUUACCCUUUUUAACUCGGUAAUUAACCUCAAUUGUCAUCCAUAAACUUUAUUAGCCACCGUAUCAAAAUACGGGAUACUACACAACGUUAUUGUAAAUUAGAAUAUCACUGUCAUAAAGCCAGUCAUUGUCUGAACUGUCAUCAUGCCAUUGUUCAAGCCCAUCAUCUGAAUUGUCAUCAAAUCUAUCUUCACUGGCAACGAACAAAUCCUCAUUUCCCUCAUCAAAUGUAGAAUUAUCUUCCAACGUCGCAGUGUCACCCUCCAACCUCACAUUGUUGUCCUUAGGUGUCGUAUUCUCAUUUGACAAUGGCAUUACACACUCUAUAGUUUCACCCGAUCGUUGCAUUUGUUAGACAGAAGCAAGUGAUUGGUUCGAUGCACAUCUUGAUCGAAAUUGUACAGCCAACUGUUCUGUGAAUGUCGUCUGUCUACCAGGCUGCACAAACUCUUGUGCAUACCUCAAUUGCCAUUGUUAUGGGUUACGGACCGAAUGUUGUGGUAUAUGUGAAGCAUUGAAAAUCUCAUUUUGAUUGAGCUGAUUACCAUGUUCUUCAACUUCUUCAUGUGACAUAACAUUUGUUUGGCGUCCCUUAAUGCUGACAUACACAGUCGGAACAUUCCUCUGUUCUAGCAGAAUUAAUGCAACAUCCUCAUCGUCCUUGAUAAUUGGCCGUGAUAGCUUUCCGAGUAUACUGAUCAAUGCAUGUAACUCAAUCUCAUCAAUUUUUUUGUUUACCCCAACAACAUCUUCAACCAGCUUCAUCAAGCCCGCAAAUGACAAAUCACUCAUAAUCCCCCGCAUUCGUGACUCACCACCCAUGUAGAUGCCAUCCACCCACUGACCAUCGUGUCUUAUCACAAGUUGCCCAAUUGGAACCCCACUAAAAUUUUGAAAGAAUAAAAAAUUUGUCAAUCAUUUUACACAAUGCAUGCUGUGUUCAAAAUUUGUUGUAAAAUGAGGUAACAUGCAAUGCAUAUAAUGUAAAAUGUGGUAACACGCCAUGCAUAUAACGUAAAAUAUGGUAACACGCCAUGCAUAUAACCAAUGUCGUGACACACUAAAAUAACGUUAACACAUGUUAUAGAUGCAUGGCGUGUAACAACUCUGGGCAAUGUUUCUAAUCCAUGUUCUAAUUUACACCAAAUGUUUCAAAAAUUUAAGUGCGUUGCAGCAAUAAACCCAAUAACAGGUACCUUGAUGUCAUCUCUGCUAUAGGGUCUGUUAAUCUACGACAAUUUAGCCAGAUGUCGAGAGAUAGACUACAGCC